CGCUGCGCUUCAACCUGCCCGCGCCUUUGGGUGCCGUGAGCUGGCUGCGCGCCACGUCGUUUCGAGGACAUAAGAAGGUGUUUCCAAGUCCAGUCUGUCCACCGACCUGAACCUUUACCACUGAAAGAACAAAGGGGUGGGGCCCGAGGGACCCUUCCCUGCCCUCCCAUGGUGUGUGGUCAGGGAUGCUCCUGCAGACACACACAGGUGGGCUCUGCCAAAUCGCAGGGGUGGUGCCGUGGUCCUCACCUGCCAUGUCACCAGAGUGCUGACACGCACACCGGAGACAGUGCUAGGCCCGGCACAUCCCAGCCAAUUCCUCUGUAAAUGAUGUAGAAGCCCCAGCACCCUGAGGCUAGGCAAAGGGAAGCAAUAGAAUUCUCCAGAGCCUGAAGGAAGCGGGAGGGUCUGUCCCAGUGAAUGCACUCGGCCAAUUCCUCCCUGUCCUCCCUCUGCCAACGCUGCCGGCCUGCAGCCUGGACCUGGCCUGGGUUGUGGAGGGGAUCAGAGGGUGUGGCGGCCGCCUGCUGGGUGCACGUGGGCCUAGGUGGUCCUCAGCCCUCAGCCCUUAUGGCAGGAGCCCCCGAAGCACUGCUGUGGCACCCUCUCUGACAUUGGGCCAGGGAGACGCUGGAAGCCGGGUGCAGAGCCAGGGCCCAGCACCCAGGCCUUGGGCUCCAGCCCGUCCCCCACAUCUGGAAUGUGCCCGCAGGGCCCAGUGUGAGAGAAGAGCGGAUCCCUACGUGAGUAAGGGUGGAGGGAUGGUGCCUCUGCCGUGGCCAUGGUGCUGCCGUCCACAUCAGCUCUCUCUCAGCACAGAUCCUGUGUGAAGGCCUCAGGGACCACGAUCCUCCUCGUUCUGAGGGCCCUAGCAGGUCGGGCUCCUGCUGUGCUGGCUCAACAUUGACUAGCUGGUGGGCUUGGUGGGUCUGUGGUCACAGAGAGACCAGAACCCGCAUAACAGGCCCGAUGAGGAUGCCAGGCUGCACUGACCCCCGAGCUUCAGAGGAGAGGGGCACCAGCUGGGAGCCCUGCACAGACAGCCUCAGGAGUUGGACCACAGGUAUCCUCUUCAUCAGAGGGAGAAGAGCUCACAACCUGGGAGAACUCCAGGCCUGGCCCAGUGAAGACGUCCUUAUCUUCAGCAGACGUUGCCCAGUGCAAAGGGAGGCCAGCCUCAGGAGGCACGGACGGUGGCGUAGCAUCCAUCCGAAGGCCCUGCCUGCAGCACGGGAUGCCACAGAGGUCCCCUGUGACAGAGCCUCAUGGGGCAGGCAGGGGUGGCAGCUGCUCCUGCGUGAAGAGGCAGAUGCAAACCUACGGUGUGGCCUCUGGGGUCCCACAUCCCAGGUAGAGAGUGACCCAGGUCGCUGGCAUCUGUGCCAUCUCUGCUCCACUGACCACUCAUGGGGGUCCUGGAGAUCCUGACACCAGUGGCCGGGGAGCAGCAGCCCAGGCACAGGCCCCAGUGCACACUCAGAUCCCACGGUGUGUGCACAUGGUCUUGCCCCGAGGCCUGGGUGCUGUAUGAGGGCCAGGAUGCUAACGCAGCGGAGGAUACCCACACGUGAGCUGCGCUGGGUUUCCUUGUACCCAAACGGGAUAUGCAGGGUUCCACUGUGCAGUUGCUGUGUAUUUUAGGAUCUCAUCCCCGUGUGCCCCAGCAGGACCACAGCUGUGACCGGCUGCUGCAGAAGGGUCCAGCUCCAGACUGACUUUCUGAGGUCACGGAUGGAGCCUCACCCCAUCCAAGGUGAUGUCCUGGACUCCCAGUGUGUUCCCCAGAGGGCAGGGUACCUGGGGCCCAGCCUGGGCGGCAGGAGGGACUCAGCCCCUCGUCCAGGCAGGAAGGCUCCCAAGCAGAGGCCCCUCCCUCGUGCACUCCCCAGCCCCCACCUGCGGCACUGGGACUGGGACUAAUAAAACACCCACCUCGCAGAAGACAGCUUUAUCUUGUUGAUCGGAAGUCUGCCAGCCCAAUUUAUGAUGGAACAUAAGAUCUCCAAAUCUGAAUUUAUGCGCUGUAGCGUAACGAGAGGUCAAUGAGAUUAAACGGGGGCUCAGGAGAGGACCAGCGCUAGGCUCACUCGAGGCGCUGCACAGAAAACCCACAGCCAGAGCCCCUGGGCCCGGCCCAGGCAAGACCAGAAAAGGAAGGGGCAGGUGGGAGACCAGCCUGGGGCUCCAGGGAAGGCCACGGGAUGGAGGCAGGAGAGCCAGCUGGCCUGGGGCAACCCUGGGAUGGCUCCUGGAUGGAGGAGAGCAGAGGGGUGACGAGGGUUCCCUCAGGGCUGGGGAGCCUUCUCCUGGUCUCAGACCCACCCCCCUUCAGCUGCCAAACCCUGGGCGCCCCUGAUUCUGAGGACAGUUGGGAACCUGCCCUGAGGCAGGUUCAAGGACAGAGCUCUGACCCUGGCCCAGGGCUGCUUUGGUGCCCAUGAACUCGGCUUCUGGCUCAGAGCAGUUCCCUGCACCCCUUUCUGAGCCCUCUGUCCUCUGGAACCCGUGGGCAGGGCGAGGGACCAGUGCUCUGUCUGGGUGGGGGCCUGGGCUCCCAGCCAGCACAAGGCUGAGCUUAGGGCAGACCCUGACUUCAGAAUUUAUACAAAUAAACGCAAUGAAAAGUGCUGGCAGCCUGA